rnacentral:rRNA from 1 species
AUUGAACGCUGGCGGCAUGCUUUACACAUGCAAGUCGAACGGCAGCGCGGGCUUCGGCCUGGCGGCGAGUGGCGAACGGGUGAGUAAUACAUCGGAACGUGCCCAGUAGUGGGGGAUAGCUCGGCGAAAGCCGGAUUAAUACCGCAUACGACCUGAGGGUGAAAGCGGGGGAUCUUCGGACCUCGCGCUAUUGGAGCGGCCGAUGGCAGAUUAGCUAGUUGGUGGGGUAAAGGCCUACCAGGGCGACGAUCUGUAGCUGGUCUGAGAGGACGACCAGCCACACUGGGACUGAGACACGGCCCAGACUCCUACGGGAGGCAGCAGUGGGGAAUUUUGGACAAUGGGCGAAAGCCUGAUCCAGCAAUGCCGCGUGUGUGAUGAAGGCCUUCGGGUUGUAAAGCACUUUUGGCGGGAACGAAAAGGACUGUGCCAAUACCACGGUUCGAUGACGGUACCCGCAGAAUAAGCACCGGCUAACUACGUG